AAGAAAUUAGUUAAAAUAAUAACCUUCGUUUGUCGUGCGUAAAUUAUCUUAUAAGAGAUAUUUCUUA
rnacentral:tRNA from 1 species